ensembl:lncRNA
UUCUGCACUCUGAACACUUCUGCCAUCUAUAUAUAUGUGCCCGCAGAAAUUCUCAGAACAGGUGUUUUCUCAAGGCUGAUGCCCACAGCAAACAUCAUAUCGUACACAGGUCACAUGCUGGUCACUGAGGUUCCUUCAAGGUUCCUUCACAUCCCAUUUAAAUCUGGGGAAAAUCUGAGCAGCCUUUUCCUCGGGGACGUGACAGAUGAUCCAGAGGAGGCCGGAGUGGCUGAUUGA